rnacentral:rRNA from 1 species
UACGUAGGGGGCUAGCGUUGUCCGGAAUCAUUGGGCGUAAAGAGCGUGUAGGCGGCCCGGUAAGUCCGCUGUGAAAGUCGGGGGCUCAACCCUCGAAUGCCGGUGGAUACUGUCGGGCUAGAGUGCGGAAGAGGCGAGUGGAAUUCCUGGUGUAGCGGUGAAAUGCGCAGAUAUCAGGAGGAACACCAAUUGCGAAGGCAGUUCUCUGGGCAACAACUGACGCUGAGGAGCGAAAGCGUGGGGAGCGAACAGG